ACUGCAAUGGAGUCCUGGUUCAUAAUGUGAGUGUAUCAUCUCCGGGUGAUAGUCCUAACACAGAUGGAAUUCACCUUCAGAAUUCAAAAAAUGUGGUGAUUCACAGCAGUAAAUUAGCAUGUGGUAAUACUUCAAUUAUCGAAAAGUAAUUGCACUAUUCUAUGAGCAUUAAGACAACUGAGUUCACGAAAUAAGUUUGAGGGUUGAAUAAAAAGGGUGGCCCAAUACACGAGGCUCCCACUUAGUAAGGUCUAGGGAAGGUUGAUGUAAGCAGCCUUACCCCCACAAACGAAGAGGUUUUUUGCAAAAAGUUUGAGGAUUGAAUAAAAACAUAAUAUAUGUGGACUUCAGCUCUAAAACAACUGGGAGGACAUAAAUAAAUACAAAACAAAAAGGAAGAGAAUAGAAAGACAAAGAUUAGAUGCAUAGCAUAUGAAUAUGAUCCUCAAAAGAGCAUGGCAUUAUCAUAUCCUAUCCUUGGUCACAUGGCAGCUAAGAAUCUCCUAAUACUUUUACAUUAUAGCCAUCAAUAACAUUGACAAGUCAAGUCCAAACCCCACAUUGCAUCAUCUAAUAUUAUCUUACUCUUUAGUAUCCAAAUAAGAAAAUAAGAACCCCCUUUUGUAUUUCUUCCAUUAUCUAUUUCUUUAUUAGAAAACAGAUCAUCUGCUUUUGAUCCUUCUUACCAACCUUUUAAAGGAGGACCUACUUAGCAGAACAAAAGAUUAACAUUGCAUGUCAGAGAAUCUAUUACAAGCUGAACAAAAAUUUUCAAUAGAUAACACUACAGAUAAAAGGUCAUGCAUCUAGGCAAAAACCACAGCUAAACAAAGUGAAGUAGAAUAAUACACAUACGUAACUCAAGUUGCUAAGUGUUGUUUUGAAUUUCAACUGAUGCAGGAGAUGAUUGUAUUUCUAUACAAACUGGAUGCUCAAAUGUAUAUGUAUAUGAUAUCAACUGUGGGCCAGGACAUGGAAUCAGCAUUGGAAGUUUGGGAAAGGAUAACACCAGAGCCUGUGUCUCAAACAUUACAGUCAGAGAUGUCAAGAUGCACAACACAAUGAAUGGUGUCAGAAUCAAAACAUGGCAGGUAAAAUAAAGAUUCCUAAGUUGAAAGUUAAGAAAUAUUUUCAACAUAAAAACAAUUUACUUUAACCAACUAUUAUAUAUAUAAGUAUAAAACUAUGGUUUAUGAAUGCUAAGGAUGAGUCAAUCCAGGCAUUACCAGAGUUUGAUGAACUAGUUUGAUUUCUCACCAAAGCUAAAUAACAUAUAUGCAGGGUGGAUCAGGGUCAGUGCAGGGAAUAGUAUUCUCAAACAUACAAGUAUCUGAAGUUAAACUCCCAAUAGUGAUUGACCAAUUCUAUUGUGAUAAAAGAACAUGCAAAAACCAAUCAUCAGCUGUGUCUCUAGAAGGAAUCAACUAUGAAAGAAUAAGGGGUACUUACACAGUUAAGCCAGUGCACUUUGCAUGCAGUGAUUUUCUUCCAUGUGUAGAUGUUUCUCUAACAUCUGUAGAGUUAAAACCAGUUCAAGAACAAUACCACCUAUAUGAUCCAUUCUGCUGGCAGACUUAUGGUGAAUUAAGAACUCCUACUGUUCCACCAAUUGGUUGUCUUCAGAUUGGGAAGCCAUCAAGCAACAGAGUUCAGACAGAUCAUGAUUCCUGUUAGAUAUAUAUAAAAGAUGGAAAGAGUGUGAGUUUGGCGCAAUGAGGUCACGAGUUCAAAUCCUGGAAACAACCUUUUCACUGAUGAAGUAUGACUGCAUAUAUCUACCUUUUCCAGACUCAAUAAGUGGAGCCUCAUACACUAAGCCACCUUAUAUAUAUAGAGAUGCCCCUUUAAAGUGUGUUAGCCAGUUGGAUAGAACAUGUAUAUUCUGAGAUUCCUACCCUACCAAAAUUUCUUCAUUAAGGGUUACACUGAUUUACCAUUAUCAAAAUAUAGUUGCCCUUCUUUCAGCAUGAGGCCUAGUAUUUGAAAAGCAGCCUUAUAGCUAUGCAAAUUGGCUGAGUGUGAGAUUUCUAUAUACAUAUUGCCACCAUCCAUCUAUGCAAUAAAAAUAUCACCAUCUCCACCAAGUUAUAAGUUUUGAUGGCGUGUCAGGGUUAACUUUCUUGUUUUACUACUAUUCAGUCAUGUAAUUACUAUAUGAUUAUAAAAAAUGUCGUCAUCAUAUCUGCUAAGUAUAAAGUCCAAAAUGAUGUGCUAAUAAUAAACACCAGUGAUAUCAAGCACUACAAGAUGAAUACAUAAACACCAUACUAUUAUAAUGACCAUAUCAGGAAUUAGAGAGACAAGUAUAUAAAUGGUGAGGAAUACAGAAAGGUGAAGACAAUAACUUUUAAGGAUGUGGGGACCAGAGAAAUUAUUGUAUACUCUAAGAGCAUUAUAACUGCAUGGUUUAAGAUCAACCACUGCCACUAAUUGUGAAUUGAUAACUUAAGAUCUGUAAAUGGUGAAAAUUCUUAUAGGAGCAUUUAUUCUGUUCCAUAAGCAUACUAGAGUUUUUCAGUGGACCUACAAUAAUUGUAGUAAAAGUGUAAAACACACACAUGCACAAACUAUGUACAAUUUACUGCUGUGAUAAAUUUUUAUGGGUAGGUACCUUAAUUGAAAUAGCUACGUUGCAAUAUAAUGCAGGCAUUCAAAGCCACAUGGGCAUCUUCUUGCAAGGUAGAAGCAUCAACCAUGCUAGUUCCAACAGAUUAUGUCUUCUACGUGGGACCUAUUUCAUUCUCUGGCCCAUACUGUAAACCCAACAUUGUUUUUCAGGUAACAGUUAACACAACUAAGAAAAAUGAAAGUUAGCAUCAAAAUAAAACAAGACUAGUAGGUAACAUGUGAAAACACUCAUCCCAAUAUAUUCACAAGUCACAAUAGCAAUAUAUGAUUUAACAUAAGAACAAUAUACACGGGCCUGUCCUUUUCCCAAUUCAGAAAAUUACAUAACAAAGAACAGUUAUUGCAUUUUGUCCUAGAAACCUUGCAUUAACCACCAACUCUUCCUAUUACUAUUUUAGUUUAUUGUAAAAACGCUUUACAUUUUUUUACAUUGUCAUAUUUAUAACAAUGUGUCAAUGUCAAUACUCCAUAGUGUAAAAACUUUUACACCAAAAAUGGGUUACAAAAAAAUCACUUGUCGAAAUGUGUAUUUACCUCUACACGGUAAGUUGGUAACUGUCCUUUUCGGUUAUAGCAACCGACAGUACAGUUGGAAUUUAGGCUAAUAAGGUGAUACUAUGUCAGCUUGAUGGUACAAUUAUUGCUCCAACAAACUCCAAUGCUUGGGGUGGAGGAUUGCUACAAUGGCUAGAAUUCACAAAGUUGGUGGGAAUUACCAUUCAAGGAAAUGGUGUCAUUGAUGGAAGAGGCUCUGUCUGGUGGCAAGACCAACCAUUUGAUGAGCCUAUAGAUGAUGAAGAAAAGCUCAUUGUCCCUUUAAACCACACAGAGAAGCCACCAUUGCCUGUAAUUAUCUUUGUUACUUUUCACAUUAAUAACACUUUAUUGCUAACCUCAGCUAAUGAUUUAUAUUUAUGCAUUUGUAUUAGAUACAAAGUGAGAUGGGAAGAAAAAUGCCAAGCAUCAAGCCAACUGUGAGGACCACUUUAACUUUACAAGACCAAUUAGGUUUAUGUUUAGAAGUUUUUUCACUUCAUGGUUGUGUUUUUGUUGCACAGGCACUAAGGUUUUAUGGGAGCUUUAAUACAACAGUCACAGGCAUUACAAUUCAAAAUAGUCCUCAAUGUCACCUCAAGUUUGACAACUGCAAUGGAGUCCUGGUUCAUAAUGUGAGUGUAUCAUCUCCGGGUGAUAGUCCUAACACAGAUGGAAUUCACCUUCAGAAUUCAAAAAAUGUGGUGAUUCACAGCAGUAAAUUAGCAUGUGGUAAUACUUCAAUUAUCGAAAAGUAAUUGCACUAUUCUAUGAGCAUUAAGACAACUGAGUUCACGAAAUAAGUUUGAGGGUUGAAUAAAAAGGGUGGCCCAAUACACGAGGCUCCCACUUAGUAAGGUCUAGGGAAGGUUGAUGUAAGCAGCCUUACCCCCACAAACGAAGAGGUUUUUUGCAAAAAGUUUGAGGAUUGAAUAAAAACAUAAUAUAUGUGGACUUCAGCUCUAAAACAACUGGGAGGACAUAAAUAAAUACAAAACAAAAAGGAAGAGAAUAGAAAGACAAAGAUUAGAUGCAUAGCAUAUGAAUAUGAUCCUCAAAAGAGCAUGGCAUUAUCAUAUCCUAUCCUUGGUCACAUGGCAGCUAAGAAUCUCCUAAUACUUUUACAUUAUAGCCAUCAAUAACAUUGACAAGUCAAGUCCAAACCCCACAUUGCAUCAUCUAAUAUUAUCUUACUCUUUAGUAUCCAAAUAAGAAAAUAAGAACCCCCUUUUGUAUUUCUUCCAUUAUCUAUUUCUUUAUUAGAAAACAGAUCAUCUGCUUUUGAUCCUUCUUACCAACCUUUUAAAGGAGGACCUACUUAGCAGAACAAAAGAUUAACAUUGCAUGUCAGAGAAUCUAUUACAAGCUGAACAAAAAUUUUCAAUAGAUAACACUACAGAUAAAAGGUCAUGCAUCUAGGCAAAAACCACAGCUAAACAAAGUGAAGUAGAAUAAUACACAUACGUAACUCAAGUUGCUAAGUGUUGUUUUGAAUUUCAACUGAUGCAGGAGAUGAUUGUAUUUCUAUACAAACUGGAUGCUCAAAUGUAUAUGUAUAUGAUAUCAACUGUGGGCCAGGACAUGGAAUCAGCAUUGGAAGUUUGGGAAAGGAUAACACCAGAGCCUGUGUCUCAAACAUUACAGUCAGAGAUGUCAAGAUGCACAACACAAUGAAUGGUGUCAGAAUCAAAACAUGGCAGGUAAAAUAAAGAUUCCUAAGUUGAAAGUUAAGAAAUAUUUUCAACAUAAAAACAAUUUACUUUAACCAACUAUUAUAUAUAUAAGUAUAAAACUAUGGUUUAUGAAUGCUAAGGAUGAGUCAAUCCAGGCAUUACCAGAGUUUGAUGAACUAGUUUGAUUUCUCACCAAAGCUAAAUAACAUAUAUGCAGGGUGGAUCAGGGUCAGUGCAGGGAAUAGUAUUCUCAAACAUACAAGUAUCUGAAGUUAAACUCCCAAUAGUGAUUGACCAAUUCUAUUGUGAUAAAAGAACAUGCAAAAACCAAUCAUCAGCUGUGUCUCUAGAAGGAAUCAACUAUGAAAGAAUAAGGGGUACUUACACAGUUAAGCCAGUGCACUUUGCAUGCAGUGAUUUUCUUCCAUGUGUAGAUGUUUCUCUAACAUCUGUAGAGUUAAAACCAGUUCAAGAACAAUACCACCUAUAUGAUCCAUUCUGCUGGCAGACUUAUGGUGAAUUAAGAACUCCUACUGUUCCACCAAUUGGUUGUCUUCAG
rnacentral:lncRNA from 1 species